rnacentral:rRNA from 1 species
AUUGAACGCUGGCGGCAGGCUUAACACAUGCAAGUCGAGCGGGGUGAGGUGCUUCGGUACUGAUCCUAGCGGCGGACGGGUGAGUAAUGCUUAGGAAUCUGCCAUUUAGUGGGGGACAACAUUCCGAAAGGAAUGCUAAUACCGCAUACGUCCUGCGGGAGAAAGCAGGGGAUCUUCGGACCUUGCGCUAAAUGAUGAGCCUAAGUCGGAUUAGCUAGUUGGUGGGGUAAAGGCCCACCAAGGCGACGAUCUGUAGCGGGUCUGAGAGGAUGAUCCGCCACACGGGGACUGAGACACGGCCCAGACUCCUACGGGAGGCAGCAGUGGGGAAUAUUGGACAAUGGGCGGAAGCCUGAUCCAGCCAUGCCGCGUGUGUGAAGAAGGCCUUUUGGUUGUAAAGCACUUUAAGCGAGGAGGAGGCUACCUGGAUUAAUACUCUGGGAUAGUGGACGUUACUCGCAGAAUAAGCACCGGCUAACUCUGUGCCAGCCGCCGCGGUAAAAC